rnacentral:lncRNA from 1 species
GCAACAGUGGUUGGUAUGGAGCAGUUCGACCUGCUGAUUCAGCAGGUCAGAGGCCUCACCGAAGCAGUGCAGGCCAUGCAGCAGCAACAGCCGCAGGUGUCAGUGCAGUUGGAAAGGGCAUCGUCGGAGUUUCAAGAUCCGGUAGUGGGGCGGGCCACUUGGGCUAGUCAUCCUAUCUUCCCUAAAAAGGGAAAUUCGAGGGUGGAGAGCCCUCAGUCUGAUCACGAUUCUACUCCCGGAGGAUCCCUACCUCCACUCCACCAAAAGACCCUCAAGACUCGCAGUCGAGAGG